ACGCUGGCGGCAGGCCUAACACAUGCAAGUCGAGCGGUAGAGAGAAGCUUGCUUCUCUUGAGAGCGGCGGACGGGUGAGUAAUGCCUAGGAAUCUGCCUGGUAGUGGGGGAUAACGUCCGGAAACGGACGCUAAUACCGCAUACGUCCUACGGGAGAAAGCAGGGGACCUUCGGGCCUUGCGCUAUCAGAUGAGCCUAGGUCGGAUUAGCUAGUUGGUGGGGUAAUGGCUCACCAAGGCGACGAUCCGUAACUGGUCUGAGAGGAUGAUCAGUCACACUGGAACUGAGACACGGUCCAGACUCCUACGGGAGGCAGCAGUGGGGAAUAUUGGACAAUGGGCGAAAGCCUGAUCCAGCCAUGCCGCGUGUGUGAAGAAGGUCUUCGGAUUGUAAAGCACUUUAAGUUGGGAGGAAGGGCAGUAAAUUAAUACUUUGCUGUUUUGACGUUACCGACAGAAUAAGCACCGGCUAACUCUGUGCCAGCAGCCGCGGUAAUACAGAGGGUGCAAGCGUUAAUCGGAAUUACUGGGCGUAAAGCGCGCGUAGGUGGUUCGUUAAGUUGGAUGUGAAAUCCCCGGGCUCAACCUGGGAACUGCAUUCAAAACUGACGAGCUAGAGUAUGGUAGAGGGUGGCGGAAUUUCCUGUGUAGCGGUGAAAUGCGUAGAUAUAGGAAGGAACACCAGUGGCGAAGGCGACCACCUGGACUGAUACUGACACUGAGGUGCGAAAGCGUGGGGAGCAAAC
rnacentral:rRNA from 1 species